GUAGGGAAUUUUCGUCAAUGGGCGCAAGCCUGAACGAGCAAUGCCGCGUGAGUGAAGAAGCUCUUCGGAGUGUAAAGCUCUGUUGCAGGGGAAAAAGGAGAAGAAGAGUGGAAAGUUUCUUCUUUGAUGGUACCCUGCCAGAAAGUCACGGCUAACUACGUGCCAGCAGCCGCGGUAAUACGUAGGUGGCGAGCGUUAUCCGGAAUGAUUGGGCGUAAAGGGUGCGCAGGCGGCCUGUCAAGUCUGAAGUGAAAUAUACAAGCUCAACUUGUAUAGGCUUUGGAAACUGGCAGGCUUGAGGACAGCAGAGGGCGGUGGAACUCCAUGUGUAGCGGUAAAAUGCGUAGAUAUAUGGAAGAACACCAGUGGCGAAGGCAGCAUACCGGCACCCAACUGACGCUGAGGCACGAAAGCGUGGGUAUCAAACAGGA
rnacentral:rRNA from 1 species